rnacentral:lncRNA from 11 species
CAAGGCUUGGCCCAGGUGAUAUAAACCCCACAGCAUGGAGGAGGGAGCCACAUCAUUCCUUCAUCCCAAGGCAGAGUUGAGGAAGGAGAGCAAGGAGGCUGCUUUGCAUCGGCCUCCAGGAUGAGCGCUAUGUGCCGAGAGAGACGGCCCUUCCUUGGCGUGACUCCAGUGGCCCUUGUUUUGGUGCUGUGCCUUCAUUUGCAAGGCUCUGCCUCCAGAUGUAUUGAUGUGACGCUUGAGCAAGAACUGGAGCCACUGCCUCCAGGCGUGGAGCGGUGUUCGUUGCCGAGUGGGCUCCUCAAACCUGAUGUCUCACGGCUUGGGCAUGAAAGAGACGCCACGGAUGGGGGAGACAGCCGUAUUGUGGGCGGCAGUCCUGCAACAUCUGGGGGGUUUGGAGGAGGAGGAAGCAGUGGAGGCAGCACUUCUCCUACACCCCGACCCACAUCACAGGGCGGCAGACCAUUUCCAUCUGGGAAGCCGGGAAGCAUAUUUGGGAGAAACCCUAAUCCAUUCGGUAGACCAAGAGAACCUGGCCCCUAUGGGAACAGACCGUCCCCGUAUGGCCCUGGUCCUGAGCCAUAUGCAAGUGGCCCCUAUGGGAACUUACCCCCUGGCCUUCAGUACAAUAACCCCCGAAUUCGCCAGCGCCCAGAAUGGAAGGCUCCUGGCAUCCCCUAUAUCCCAUCUGCCAAGGAGUGGGGUGGCGGCCACAUCCCCAUACGUAAAGAGAAUCCCAAUGCACCAUAUGCGGUCCCUUAUGGUGGUGGAGCAGGUUCGUACCCUUCACCUUAUGGGGAAGGUGAUGGGUCCAUGUCAUCAGGGAUGAGGGGCAGAUACGACGGCAGUUACGGCCCCAUUCCUGAAAGCUUGCAACCUGGUGGAGGACAGCGUGGCAUAGACGGCGUGAAUCGUGGUCCCCCUUGCAAUCCAAACUGUUAAGGUGGGGAUAGAUUGUCAACACUUAAUGUCAACCCUAUUGCUUCCAUGGAUCUGUGUUAGUUAAGAGCCGCAAAUGGAUUCAGACCUUGGGCUACAGCUCUUAUAACUCCUGAAUGCUAGCCAAGUCAGUUGAGAAUGAUGAUACUGUAAUCCAAUGCCCUAAGCAAAAGCAGAUAGCAUGCCUAUGUUUUGUUUCAUUAUCUGGGAAGGAACUACGGGGCCAUUCACACCACAUAAUUAUAAAAUUACAAUUCCACUUUAACUGCCAUGGCAACAUCCUAUGGAACCACUGCCAUUUCCCUACAUGGCCUCUGUCUCUGACACCUGGAUUGUUACAGUGCAGCACCUUUAUGUAACUAGAGGAAGCAAAUCCGUCUAUGUUCUUGCUCAGCCAGCACGUUUGUAUUAAAAUCCUUUGUACUGUAACACUAACUAGUGUUUUUGUUUGGUUUUGUGAUACAUUUCUUUUCGGGGAUAGAAUAAUAGAAUCACAGAGUUGGAAGAGACCUCAUGGACCAUCCAGUCCAACCCCAUUCUGCCAAGAAGCAGGGAAAUCACAUUCAAAGCACCCCCAAUAGAUGGCCAUCCAGCCUCUGCUUAAAAAUCUCCAAAGGAGCCUCCAUCACACUCCGAGGCAGAGAGUUCCACUGCUGAACAGUUCACACAGUUAGGAAGUUCUUCCUAAUGUUCAGGUGGAAUCUCCUUUCCUGUAGUUUGAAGCCAUUGUUCCGCGUCCUAGUCUCCAGGGCAGCAGAAAACAAGCUUGCUCCCUCCUCCCUAUAACAUCCCCUCAGAUAUUAUACAUGGCCAUCAUCAUGUCUCCUCUCAGCCUUCUCUUCUGCAGGCUAAACAUGCCCAGCACUUUCAGCCGCUCCUCGUAGGGCUUGUUCUCCAGACCCUUGAUCAUUUUAGUUGCCCUCCUCUGGACACAUUCCAGCUUGUC